UUCAUUUGUGCCUGAAACCUAGCUAAGUUAGCUAACGUAUAUUGUGUGAGACGAGAGAUGAAGGUCACUGAGCGGUUUCACACUAAACUAAAUGAUACUACGACAACCUGAGACUUUCUUGUAAAAUUAUCUUUUAAAUUGACAAACAUCAUAUGUGUGAUUCAUAGCGCAAUUCAAA